rnacentral:rRNA from 1 species
UAGCGUAUAUUAAAGUUGUUGCAGUUAAAACGCUCGUAGUUGAACCUUUGCCGGGGCGCGACGGGUCCUGCCGCAAGGCGGGUUUUACUUGUCGCGUGCCGGUGUCUUUUUGUGGGGUCGCUCGGGGUCUUUGCAUUCCUGCUUGCAAGAGCAAGGGGCGAGGGCCACGUGCCCCACCGUUUACUUUGAAAAAAUUAGAGUGUUCAAAGCAGGCGCUUUUCGCCUGAAUACAUUAGCAUGGAAUAAUAAAACAUGACCGCCGGUCGCGUUUUGUUGGUUAACCGUCCGAGGUAAUGAUUAAUAGGGACAGUCGGGGCCAUUAGUAUUUAAUUGUCAGAGGUGAAAUUCUUGGAUUUAUGAAAG